CUUUUUGAUGUUCGCGUUGCUAAUUGCCGAGCUCCUCUUUUAGGAUUGGCUGCCCCUUCGUAUCCUUAAUAUAAUUAAAAGAACGGAAAAAAAAAACCUUCUAUCAUGGAGGCAGAGGUUAAUGCAAGUGUUUAGCAGAUGCUGUACUGCAACAUUUUCUUUUUAAAUAAACUCAUUAACUAUUGGAUAAUCUCAGCCCAGGUACAGUAUGUCGCCAAGAAUUUUGAUGGAAAAAAAUAGCGGCUCGAUCAGCUCACAAAGUGUAUCGCUGUACAAAGUGCUUUGUGUGGAACUAGCAGAGGAAAACAUAAAAAACAGCUUCGGGAGGCUCUUACCGAUUAACCAAUGCUGAAUUCUUACACCAGAACCACUCCGGCUUCUUGCUGGUUAAUGCACACAAAGAACUCCCUAGCACUAAAUUUUCACGCGAAGAGAAAUGCAAUUAUUAUGGAUAGCCAGUGGACAUGAGCUGCAAGUUCAGAACAAUUGGAUCUGAUUUGAUAGCAAUUGACUUCUAAAAUAAGCAGACAAUAGCUCAAGGUUUGGCCACGGAAAUGGUUUUCAAAGAAUGAGUUGCUUUAGAACAAUAAAAGCAAACCAAAUGAUUCUCUUCCAGCUCGCUGAGUUAAUGUACAUACCACGACAUCUAUUCAUCCGAACCAGUUAUAUGCCUGAAAUCAGUUGCAUGCUUGUUUAACUAGCCUGAUUGGAGCCAGUAGGUCGUAAAUUAAGAAAGAGAGAUAGAGAUGCUGGAGUUUGCAAGGAGCCUAGAAGAAACUCAAGUCGAAUUGCUGAAAAUGCUCAGUAUCGGAAGAUAUAUUUGGGAAUAAUGCAGUACAUUAGGCUGCUUCGUCCACCAGUUUCAAAGUCUUUUCGAACUGGACGCCCAAGAAGGGGAGUAAAGGACGAUUAGUAAUGUACUGGAACCGAGUACAUGGCAUUUUGUCAUUGUACAGUUCAGCGGAUGAUCUGUGCCAGCAGGAGGAAUCCUACGGAGGGCGCAGUUCAACAGCGUCUUCUUCGCUUUCCUGAAGUGCAAUAAGAAAUGCCCAGAAGUGUAUAGCUAUCUGUUUUACAAGACACUGUGCACCAGAGUCUCCAGGCCAAAGAAGCAAAGCAUCAGUCCCAGUGGUUGUCAUUGUACUUCGUCAUAUUUGCACUCACACUGUACGCUGCCCCUUCCCUCUGGGCAACAGACCGGGAGCAGCUCACACAAUCUAUUUUACUUGUCUUCCUUCCCCCCUCCGCCGAAAAGAUUAAAAGUGCAUGAUAGAGGCUGGAAAAACAUGUUUCAGUUUUGUUGUGUGAGAUAUUUUUGAAAGAAGUCAGAAUUAAACUAAAUAUUCUAAAAAGAGAAGAUAGUUCACGGUUGUGUGAAAAAUAAGUAUCUUUUCAUGAACUUCUUUUCUUCUGUUUACAUAAGAGAAAUAAAAGUAAACAGGCCUUAAGGUUUAAUGGAAUUGAACAUGUCAAAGGAAUAGAAUUGCGUGUUGUGUGGUUUAGGAGAAAGAUGUUCUAAGUCCUUUACUAAACAGUAUUUUAAAUUAUUUCAGAAAUAGAAAACUGAACUGAACAAACCACAAACACACAAACGCUCCCAAAGGGAAGAAGAGGAAAAAAACUGGAUUAAAAUACAAAGUAAAGAAUCAGUGGAAUCUAUAACUUUGAAAACCGAAAUAUAGUAUAAUACCUGAUAAAGUAUAGAAUUUCCCGCACAAAUAUCUUCCCGAAGGAGCCAAAUUCACCCAAUAUUGGCCAAUUGUCAAGAUUAGUUUAAUAACUUAAAAUAAUAACCAGUGGGGUACAUUGCCUUGAUAGCUCUAUUCUGAAAAGCCUUACUAGCACGUGUAAUUCUUACUCAAGGAAGUAGUUACACUUUCUGAAUGGGACAAUUGUCUUGAGUAACAACAGCUCAAGUAAAUAAGGAUUUUUCAGAAUCGGGCCCAAAUAGCUACAUUAAUAAGUUUAUGAAUUGGUCUACUCUGAGUUUAGCAGAUAGUAAUAUUCUUUGUUCCUAAUUAGGUUCUAAGCAUUCUAAACAAAAUGUGCAAUUUUAUGGUGUUUAAGCUCUUUCACCCUCGAAAAUAUUAAGGAACACAGAAUCUUGGCUUUGUGAAUGCGGAUUUAAAAUUUGGCGUGUGGCUGGAAAUAUUUAAAAAUAGGUACUUCUAGCUACAGUAUCCGGCUGAGAGCAGAUGAGCAGAAAGAUGGGUCUUUUUUUGUGGAUGGUUAACACUGCAGGCUUUUACAAGCCAACUAUGGGUUUGAACCCUUCAGUUCGUUGGAAGAGCCAGAGUUCCCCUUAUGUUUGCUUGUGCCUCACUACCUCACAGCUCUGUCUCCCCGUGAAUCGCUUUAAAAGUUUAGACGUGUUCAAAUUUAUAGAGUGCAUAAUGUCACUGACCUGAGACCAAAUGUAUUAGAAAGAGAGAUAAUUCUCAAAUGUAUUUUGAAGUGUCUAAGUACCAAGUGCCCUGUGAAUGGCAAUCUACAUACAACAAAACAUCCAGUUGGAAGGCCAUAAACUCAACGCAACAUAGAAACCCUGCAAUCAUAUGGAGUUUUGAAGGGACGCUGGAGAAAUAUCAUUUGAAGUAAAAUCUGUCAAUUCGUGUUAAUGAAAAUUACUCCUGCUUCGUUAGUUACACUCAUGUAGUCACAUCAUUGAUUUCAACGAGCAUAGCAAAGGGCAGAAUUUGGCCUUACAAGUCUGCUUUAAUUGCUGUGGAGGACCGUAAAGGAACCCUGGUGUUCGUUACUAUUAUCGGUACUGAAGGUGCAAAUAUUUAAGGCCCGAUAAUCUCUGCCAUUAAGUGUGUAUUUUAUACACACACGUAGAUAAACCCCAACAACAAGAUAGCAUCCACUUUGUAAGUUUAAAUGAUGUGCAAUAAACACAUGAGCGUACCAGUUUUACCCUUGCAUGUGUGAACAAUUAUUCAAAGAUUGCUUCUAUUUGGGACCAAUGAUACGAAGUUGAGUUGAUGCCACAUAAAAGAAUUUAAAAAACCCAGGGAGCGCCAAAAGAAGAAUAAAGAAUUCAUAAAAAUACUAAAUCGAACAGACAGUAUUUCUUCUUGCGUUUGUGGUGUUCACGUAGUUGCUCGUCCUUUAAUAUUGUUUGCAUUCCUUGGGGACCUGUGUUUUGAGGCUGCUUUUAAGAUCACUGCUGAUGGAAUUGCUUGGGUGACGGGAAUUGUUUUGAUCAAUAAAUAUUUGUCCUGAGAAUAUUAGGUUUACGUGCUCGCAGGAACAAAGAUUAACCUGAUAUUGCUUUGGUUCUAGACCAAGAAAAAGCAGUACUUUUAUUGUCAAUAUUAAU